CCUACGGGAGGCAGCAGUGAGGAAUAUUGGUCAAUGGACGAGAGUCUGAACCAGCCAAGUAGCGUGAAGGAUGACUGCCCUAUGGGUUGUAAACUUCUUUUAUAUGGGAAUAAAAUGUUCCACGUGUGGGAUUUUGUAUGUACCAUAUGAAUAAGGAUCGGCUAACUCCGUGCCAGCAGCCGCGGUAAUACGGGGGAUCCGAGAGUUAUCCGGAUUUUUUGGGUUUAAAGGGAGCGUAGGUGGAUUGUUAAGUCAGUUGUGAAAGUUUGCGGGUCAACCGUAAAAUUGCAGUUGAAACUGGCAGUCUUGAGUACAGUAGAGGUGGGCGGAAUUCGUGGUGUAGCGGUGAAAUGCUUAGAUAUCACGAAGAACUCCGAUUGCGAAGGCAGCUCACUGGACUGCAACUGACACUGAGGCUCGAAAGUGUGGGUAUCAAACAGGAUUAGAUACCCCUGUAGUC
rnacentral:rRNA from 1 species